GUAUCAUGGCUCAGGAUGAACGCUAGCUACAGGCUUAACACAUGCAAGUCGAGGGGCAGCAUGGUCUUAGCUUGCUAAGGCCGAUGGCGACCGGCGCGCGGGUGAGUAACACGUAUCCAACCUGCCGUCUACUCUUGGACAGCCUUCUGAAAGGAAGAUUAAUACAAGAUGGCAUCAUGAGUUCACAUGUUCACAUGAUUAAAGGUNUUCCGGUAGACGAUGGGAG
rnacentral:rRNA from 1 species